rnacentral:rRNA from 3 species
GGUUGACCUCGGAUCAGGUAGGGAUACCCGCUGAACUUAAGCAUAUCAAUAAGCCGGAGGA